UUUGGUUUUUAGUGGAAAUCAAAAAGGCCCUGGCUUCGUUCCCCACUCCCGAGAUCUGCUUGCCGCUCACGUCUCCGGCGAUCGCCGUAGGCCACGGGUGUUACACUUCGGCAAGAUCGAGAUGGAUUAAUCGGUGGCCGGCGGAAUUCACAAUGGUGAGAGCGUGGAGACGCGGGCUCAAGCCGCUGCGGCCAGCGACGCCAAGUGCGCGGGUGAAGGGCUACGACCCUCGAUGGCCGGAUCCGACCUCGCCCCUUCCGCCUUCGCCUCCGCCUCCUGCCCAUCAUCGGCGAGGUCGCGGGAGAGGCGUGCCGACGCCCCGCGGCCGGAUCCGGCCUCAUCGCUGGGGCCUCGUCCUCCUGUGCCUCGGCGAGCACGCAGGGGAGGCGCACUGAUGAUGCGCUGCGGCCAGAUGUGGCCUCGCUUCCUCCGCCUUCAUCGACUGUCCAUCGGCAAGAGAGCGAGGAAGGGGCGCCGACCAGCCGCGGCCCGAUCCGGGCUCGACGGCUCACCCUCCGCCCCAUGCCCAUCGGCGAGCGGGCCUCGACGACAACGCGCCAGAAGAACACCGACCGCUACUGCAGCCGUCGACUGGUCGCUCCUGCCGGAGGAGCUUCUUCUCGUCAUCAUGGGGCACCUCGAGGUCAUUGACCUCGUCCGCUCCGGCGCCGCUUGCUCCUCCUGGCACCCCGCGUUCACGGCCUUCCGCCGCCUCCGCAUCCCUUCCCCGAAGCAGGCCCCCUGUGCACUCUACACCGCCCGCGACGAGGACCCCGACAUCGCAGUGCUCUGCGCCCCUUGCAGACCGACCUCCAUCGGUGCUUCCAGAUCCAGAUUGCCCUCCAUCCGUACUGCCCUCCCGGGCCUUCCGCUCAGCCGCCGGACUUUCGUCGGCUCGGCGUAUGGGUGGCUCGUCACCGCAGACGAGGAUUCCAACCUCCACGUCGUCAAUCUCCUCAUCGGUGCCCAGGUCGCGCUCCCGCCCCUCGCCAGCCUCUACAACGUCGAGAGCCUAACGGACGAGGGUGGCGACCUAACAUACCGGGUCUUCGUGAACCGGGAAGCUGAUGAGGAGCCCACCGACAACCUCACCGCCCUCGCCGCGCGUGAGAUCAUGUACUUUCGUGCCGUCCUGUUGUGCUCACCUUCAGCCGGGGCCGAAUGCAUCGUGCUCCUCAUUCACUGGCCCGAAGGUGAGCUCUCGUUUGCCAGGCUUGGCGAUGAGUCCUGGAUGCCGGUCUCUGCCAUGGGCCACGGCCCCCUUGAGCGUAGCGGUUACCAUGAUGCUGUUUACAACUCUGACAAUGGCCUGUUCUAUGUUCUGCGCUUUGACGGCGCUAUCUACACCUUGGACCUCAAUGGGCAUUCACCAUCAGCUAGCAGGAUCAUGCGUUCAGCAAUGCCGAUAUACCAUCCUGGCCGCACCCAUGAUCUCAUAACAAUGUACCUUGUUAAGACGCCAUCAGGCGACCUCCUGCAGGUGUUCAGGUGGAUAGAAAUGAGCCUGUACCCAUUCCGCCAUCCGCCAUACACUGAUGACAAUGAGUUCUACAGCAUUUAUGCACAGAUUGAGUCAUUUGAUGUGCAGGUCUUUAAGGUUGAUCUCCAUGGACAAAAACUGGACCAUAUCACCACCUUGGGAGAUCACUCAUUAUUUCUUGGAUACAAUAAUUCCAUGUGCAUUUCAACAAAGGACUUGCCAAUGUUGGAGCCCAACCUUUUCUAUCUGAUGGACAAUUGCAAACAUGUAUAUAAGGCAACAGAAAGUUUCCGAGACAUGGGUUUUUACAAAAUCGGAGAAAUUCCCAUAUACAAUGGAGGUCCAAGGACGCCCAAUCAUGGAUGUUUUCCCUUUGCUUCGAAGCCUUUCCCAGUCCCAAUUUGGAUUACACCAUCUGUUUACUAGGUUCAUGAUGUUGUGUCUAACAUCAGAAGGUUGAAACGCGUUGAUAAACUCCUUAUUCAGAUCUUCAGCUUUCCUCACCUCCAAGCACAAUUUUAGCAGUUUGACUGCAGAAAAAAGUGUAUACCUGCAGGAGCUGUAGUAAAGAACAUCAACCAGGAAAGAACGCUAUAUGGAGAAAUAUGAUGUAGUUAUACAUGAGCUUCAUUAUUUAAUUUCCUGAAUGCAACUAGCCUUUGUCUGCAAAACAACCAAUCAAUCAUACCCUCAUGCUGCCAGAUCUUCAGUUGAGAACCGAUAAACUAUGCAAAAUAAAGAGACCAUUGAAAAUUAGAAGUCAAUAUCAGCUGGUUUCCUUUUGCCAAUGAACCCGCUAACAGAACCAAUUGGAUCAAACGGGUAUUUUUUACCAAAAUGCAGCAAUUAUUUUUAAAUUACUGUUCACAGACAGAUAUGCAUUCCAGACAAGCAGCAGGUUCUGACAUAGGAAUAGCUGAAUAGGAUCAGGGGAAAUGCUACAUCAGAUUGCACUUGCAAAUACGGAAAUACUACAGAAAUGAACAUGUUGUCAGCAAAGAUCUUGUAUAUGGACAGCCUUUUCUGGAGCAAUUAAACUGAAUGGAGGAGACACUUGGGAAAGUAGAAAGAGCUGGAGACCUAGCGAGAGCUAGCAGAUAUGUUGGAAAUCAGCAUCAGUACUAGUGGUUUUGCUGUUAGCGCAGGGUGUAGUCUGUUUCUGCUUUGUUUUUUUGUUCUGACCCCUGUGUGUGAGGUCUGGCGUUGUAUCACUGUUUGGUAGUAAUCUCUCUGCUUCUCUUCUGAUUGCAGGCGCCUGUGCCUUGCAGUUGGUUAGGUUGUAGUUGCUGUAAGGUGCUGGUUCGUGGUUGGAUCUUUGUUAGCUGGUAACCCCAGCAAAAUGUUAUAUACUUUCAGUAUAAACAGGGCCAAGCCUUUGGUCUAAUCAAACCGAAGGAGGUUCAAUAUUGCUUUCAACAUA